rnacentral:rRNA from 1 species
AGCGAACGCUGGCGGCAGGCCUAACACAUGCAAGUCGAACGAACCUUUCGGGGUUAGUGGCGGACGGGUGAGUAACACGUGGGAACGUGCCUUUAGGUUCGGAAUAACUCAGGGAAACUUGUGCUAAUACCGAAUGUGCCCUUCGGGGGAAAGAUUAAUCGCCUUUAGAGCGGCCCGCGUCUGAUUAGCUAGUUGGUUGAGGUAAUGGCUCACCAAGGCGACGAUCAGUAGCUGGUCUGAGAGGAUGAUCAGCCACAUUGGGACUGAGACACGGCCCAAACUCCUACGGGAGGCAGCAGUGGGGAAUCUUGCGCAAUGGGCUAAAGCCUGACGCAGCCAUGCCGCGUGAAUGAUGAAGGUCUUAGGAUGGGAAAAUUCUUUCACCGGGGACGAUAAUGACGGUACCCGGAGAAGAAGCCCCGGCUAACUUCGUG